UACGUAGGGGGCUAGCGUUGCUCGGAAUUACUGGGCGUAAAGCGCACGUAGGCGGCUCUUUAAGUCGGGGGUGAAAUCCCGGGGCUCAACCUCGGAACUGCCUUUGAUACUGCAAAUCUCGAGUCCGAUAGAGGUGGGUGGAAUUCCUAGUGUAGAGGUGAAAUUCGUAGAUAUUAGGAAGAACACCGGUGGCGAAGGCGGCCCACUGGAUCGGUACUGACGCUGAGGUGCGAAAGCGUGGGGAGCAAACAGG
rnacentral:rRNA from 1 species